CCUACGGGCGGCAGCAGUGAGGAAUAUUGGUCAAUGGACGAGAGUCUGAACCAGCCAAGUAGCGUGAAGGAUGACUGCCCUAUGGGUUGUAAACUUCUUUUAUAUGGGAAUAAAAUGUUCCACGUGUGGGAUUUUGUAUGUACCAUAUGAAUAAGGAUCGGCUAACUCCGUGCCAGCAGCCGCGGUAAUACGGAGGAUCCGAGCGUUAUCCGGAUUUAUUGGGUUUAAAGGGAGCGUAGGUGGAUUGUUAAGUCAGUUGUGAAAGUCUGCGGCUUAACCGUAAAAUUGCAGUUGAAACUGGAGGUCGAGAGUACAGUAGAGGGAGGCGGAAUUCGUGGUGUAGCGGUGAAAUGCUUAGAUAUCACGAAGAACACCGAUUGCGAAGGCAGCUCACUGGACUACAACUGACGCUGAGGCUCGAAAGUGUGGGUAGCAAACAGGAUUAGAUACCCCAGUAGUC
rnacentral:rRNA from 1 species